rnacentral:rRNA from 1 species
CGUAGGGUGCUAGCGUUGUUCGGAAUCAUUGGGCGUAAAGCGCGUGUAGGCGGUUAGUUAAGUCAGAUGUGAAAUCCCUGGGCUCAACCGAGGAAGUGCAUUUGAAACUAAUUAGCUGGAGAGUGGUAGAGGAAGGUGGAAUUCCGUGUGUAGAGGUGAAAUUCGUAGAUAUACGGAGGAAUACCGGUGGCGAAGGCGGCCUUCUGGACCAUUUCUGACGCUGAGACGCGAAAGCGUGGGGAGCAAACAGGAUUAGAUACCCUGGUAGUCCACGCCGUAAACGAUGGGUACUAGAUGUUGCGGGAAUUGACCCCUGCAGUGUCGACGCUAACGCAUUAAGUACCCCGCCUGGGAAGUACGGCCGCAAGGUUA